CGCUUAGCGCCUCCUUUGCCCAGACCCUUCCCGCCUUUGCCGCGCCCAGACAUGUCUUGUACUAAACAAAAUGCAACACGGCAAGCCUCGCAGCAGUACUUUAUAUAGUAAUAAAUCGGACCUGAUUGGGAACUCUCCACACCAGCUGCAUCCGGUCGGCCGAUUCACAGACCUUGCGCCCUGCCCACGACUUCAGGAAAAAAUGGAAAAGGGGGUACUUAAACUCCAGUUUCUAAAAAUGAUGCCCAGUUAAAAAUUACUCAGCUCAUCUUGCCCUUCUACAGUGUUUUAGGCUGACCACCGCUGCAUUCCAUUGUCUGGGUCUUUGCAGCCUGUUUUUCCUGUCACCUCUUAGCAUCGAUUGUUCUAGUGCUUUGUGGCUGCUGGAAUCAAAUGGCGCCAUCUCUAGAGGGGUAAUCACAGUCGUUUCGGGCAUUUGUGAAAUAGCGUGUAGAAACUGCUUCCGUACAAACUCGAAGUGAUCAGCCUAUGGAGUGGCUGACUGCAAAAGACGACGCCUGAUGAUAGCUCCAAGGAAAUCAGCUGUGCCCAGAAACCCUGUCUUUUACAUUUACAAAUAAAGUGCAGGAGGAAAAGACCGAGGAUGACUUUAUUCCAAGAAAAAGAGUUUCAAAUGGCCGGACGCGGUGGCUCACGCCUGUAAUCCCAGCCAGAAGGGAGGCCGAUGCAUGUGGAUCACAAGGUCAGGAGUUCGAGACCAGCCUGGCUAAGAUGGCGAAACCCCUUCUCUACUAAAAAUAAAGAAAAUUGGCCUGGCGUGGUGGAGGGCGCCCAUAAUCCCAGCUACUCAGGAGGUUGAGGCAAGAAAAUCGCUUGAACGCAGAAGGCGGAGGUUGCAGUGAGCCAAGAUCGAGCCCCUGCACUCCAUGCACUCCAGCCUGGGCAACAAAGUAAGAGUCCGUCUCAAAAAAAAGUUUCAAAUAAAUGUUGUGUGAC
rnacentral:lncRNA from 10 species